GGGCCGUUAGCUCAGUUGGUAGAGCAGGUGACUCUUAAUCACAAGAUCGAAGGUUCGAGUCCUUCACGGCCCACCA
rnacentral:tRNA from 1 species